rnacentral:rRNA from 1 species
GACGAACGCUGGCGGCGUGCUUAACACAUGCAAGUCGAACGGAAAGGCCCUGCUUGCAGGGUACUCGAGUGGCGAACGGGUGAGUAACACGUGGGUGAUCUGCCCUGCACUUCGGGAUAAGCUUGGGAAACUGGGUCUAAUACCGGAUAGGAACCAUCUUUAGUGUGGUGGUUGGAAAGUUUUUUCGGUGUAGGAUGAGCUCGCGGCCUAUCAGCUUGUUGGUGGGGUAAUGGCCUACCAAGGCGGCGACGGGUAGCCGGCCUGAGAGGGUGUACGGCCACAUUGGGACUGAGAUACGGCCCAGACUCCUACGGGAGGCAGCAGUGGGGAAUAUUGCACAAUGGGCGCAAGCCUGAUGCAGCGACGCCGCGUGGGGGAUGAAGGCCUUCGGGUUGUAAACUCCUUUCGCUAGGGACGAAGCUUUUUGUGACGGUACCUAGAUAAGAAGCACCGGCUAACUACG